GAUCUGACAAGCACUUUCAACAGGUAAGGAAUGAAUCUGUGGUGUGGUUUGUGUUUCUGCCGGUGGCUCCAGUCACCACAGCUGGUCCAGCCAUUCCCGCUCUAGCAGGAGUCACCAUUGCCCUGGGCCUGCUGUCUGCACUCUUGCUGGGACACUUACUCUGCUUCCACAUAUACCUCAUGUGGAACAGGCUUAGCACAUAUGGUAUAUUGUGCGACAGCGACAUCGGCAAGAGGCCAAAGAUUCCAGAA